AUUGAACGCUGGCGGCAGGCUUAACACAUGCAAGUCGAACGAUGAAACUCUAGCUUGCUAGAGAUGAUUAGUGGCGGACGGGUGAGUAACAUUUAGGAAUCUGCCUAGUAGUGGGGGAUAGCUCGGGGAAACUCGAAUUAAUACCGCAUACGACCUACGGGUGAAAGGGGGCGCAAGCUCUUGCUAUUAGAUGAGCCUAAAUCAGAUUAGCUAGUUGGUGGGGUAAAGGCCCACCAAGGCGACGAUCUGUAACUGGUCUGAGAGGAUGAUCAGUCACACCGGAACUGAGACACGGUCCGGACUCCUACGGGAGGCAGCAGUGGGGAAUAUUGGACAAUGGGGGCAACCCUGAUCCAGCCAUGCCGCGUGUGUGAAGAAGGCCUUUUGGUUGUAAAGCACUUUAAGCAGGGAGGAGAGGCUAAUGGUUAAUGCCCAUUAGAUUAGACGUUACCUGCAGAAUAAGCACCGGCUAACUCUGUGCCAGCAGCCGCGGUAAUACAGAGGGUGCGAGCGUUAAUCGGAAUUACUGGGCGUAAAGCGAGUGUAGGUGGCUCAUUAAGUCACAUGUGAAAUCCCCGGGCUUAACCUGGGAACUGCAUGUGAUACUGGUGGUGCUAGAAUAUGUGAGAGGGAAGUAGAAUUCCAGGUGUAGCGGUGAAAUGCGUAGAGAUCUGGAGGAAUACCGAUGGCGAAGGCAGCUUCCUGGCAUAAUAUUGACACUGAGAUUCGAAAGCGUGGGUAGCAAACAGG
rnacentral:rRNA from 1 species